rnacentral:lncRNA from 1 species
AACCACAAAAAUAGGUGUUUUUAAGUUAAGUUUUGUUUUCAAUUUAUUCAAAAGAGAAGAAAAUGUUCAAAAAAUAUAUGUUUUAUUUUAAUGUAUAUUUAAUAAAUAAACUAGUGUUUCUUAAUUAUAUUUUUUAUUAGCUAUUUAACUUUUCUUAAAUUUAUAUUAAUUAAAAAUAAUUAGUUAGUAAUUAUAUUUAUAUAUACCUACCUACACACUACCCCACUACCCCACUUCCUCACACCAUUUCACCCCACUUCCCC